AACGUAGGGGACAAGCGUUAUCCGGAUUUACUGGGCGUAAAGCGCCCGUAGGCGGCCUGACAAGUUGGACGUGAAAGCUCCUGGCUUAACUGGGAGAGGCCGUUCAAAACUGUCAAGCUAGAGUCUGGAAGAGGAGAGCGGAAUUCCCGGUGUAGUGGUGGAAUGCGUAGAGAUCGGGAGGAACACCAGUGGCGAAGGCGGCUCACUGGUCCGGUACUGACGCUGAGGUGCGAAAGCGUGGGGAGCAAACAGG
rnacentral:rRNA from 1 species